rnacentral:rRNA from 1 species
UACGUAGGGUGCGAGCGUUGUCCGGAAUUAUUGGGCGUAAAGAGCUCGUAGGCGGUCUGUCGCGUCGAUCGUGAAAACUUGGGGCUUAACCCUGAGCUUGCGGUCGAUACGGGCAUGACUGGAGUUCGGCAGGGGAGACUGGAAUUCCUGGUGUAGCGGUGAAAUGCGCAGAUAUCAGGAGGAACACCUGUGGCGAAAGCGGCGCACUGGACCAUAACUGACGCUGAGGCGCGAAAGCUAGGGGAGCAAACAGG